rnacentral:rRNA from 1 species
GACGAACGCUGGCGGCGUGCUUAACACAUGCAAGUCGAACGGAAAGGCCCUGCUUUUGUGGGGUGCUCGAGUGGCGAACGGGUGAGUAACACGUGAGUAACCUGCCCUUGACUUUGGGAUAACUUCAGGAAACUGGGGCUAAUACCGGAUAGGAGCUCCUGCUGCAUGGUGGGGGUUGGAAAGUUUCGGCGGUUGGGGAUGGACUCGCGGCUUAUCAGCUUGUUGGUGGGGUAGUGGCUUACCAAGGCUUUGACGGGUAGCCGGCCUGAGAGGGUGACCGGCCACAGUGGGAGUGAGAUACGGCCCAGACGCCUACGGGAGGCAGCAGUGGGGAAUAUUGCACAAUGGGCGGAAGCCUGAUGCAGCAACGCCGCGUGCGGGAUGACGGCCUUCGGGUUGUAAACCGCUUUCGCCUGUGACGAAGCGUGAGUGACGGUAAUGGGUAAAGAAGCACCGGCUAACUACGU